rnacentral:lncRNA from 1 species
AUUGUAUUUAAAUUUAUAAGCAAAUAUAACAUUAAUUAAAAAGGAUUUGAAGAGUAUUCAAUCCCAAUUACAGAGAAAGGCCAUUGAAGAAGUUUUAUUUACAUGUGAGAAACACAAGAUAAAGCAUUGCAUACAACACUCAGUUUUAUGAAUGCACUAUUGGGGAGUUCAUCAUGCUUCUUCCUCUGUUUUGCUUACCUUCAUAGACAUUUCUCCAGAUAGGUUUUGAGGAAAAUUAUCAAUCUCCCAGAACAAUGCUUUUAUCAAAUGUUGAAUUUCUGGGUCCAUUUCGGCAUCCUCGUACGCAGCUUUUCGUUUUUGCUUCGAAUCAAAGGCUGGUUCAUGUCGAUUAACGAUCUUAGUUGUGCAACUGAUUAGAGAGUUUCUGGCUUUUUUGUAGUAUACUUUCUCAACAUGAUCGCUUCUAUGUGACCCUGUUUUCUGCAUUGCCUCAAUCUCUCUCUUCAUUGAAGGAGAAAAAAGAGUGUUGAUUGAGAAGAACUCACAGUGUUAUUUCACCCUCAUAAGCCCUCUAUCAGUGUGAUUUAUACAUACAAAAAAUGUUCUAUGAACAAAUCAACACAGCUGUAGCUGGUUUCCCAUUGAUUUAAG